CACGGGGGGAACGCGAAGAACCUUACCUGGGCUAGAAUGUGAGGGAGGUCUGCGUAACAGCAGGCGUCUGGGAAACCAGACCCAAAACAAGGUGCUGCAUGGCUGUCGUCAGCUCGUGUCGUGAGAUGUUGGGUUAAGUCCCGCAACGAGCGCAACCCUUGUGAUUAGUUGCCAGCACGUAAUGGUGGGAACUCUAAUCAGACUGCCCAGAUCAACUGGGAGGAAGGUGGGGAUGACGUCAAGUCCGUAUGGCCCUUACGUCCUGGGCUGCACACGUACUACAAUGUCCAGUACAAAAUGAUCUGAUGCUGCGAAGCGGAAGAAAUCACGAAAACUGGGCUCAGUUCAGAUUGCAGGCUGCAACUCGCCUGCAUGAAGUCGGAAUCGCUAGUAAUGGUACAUCAUCUACGGCGCCGUGAAUACGUUCCCGGGUCUUGUACACACGC
rnacentral:rRNA from 1 species